AGAGUUUGAUCCUGGCUCAGGACGAACGCUGGCGGCGUGCCUAAUACAUGCAAGUCGAGCGGACAGGUGGGAGCUUGCUCCCUGAUGUUAGCGGCGGACGGGUGAGUAACACGUGGGUAACCUGCCUGUAAGACUGGGAUAACUCCGGGAAACCGGGGCUAAUACCGGAUGGUUGUUUGAACCGCAUGGUUCAAACAUAAAAGGUGGCUUCGGCUACCACUUACAGAUGGACCCGCGGCGCAUUAGCUAGUUGGUGAGGUAACGGCUCACCAAGGCAACGAUGCGUAGCCGACCUGAGAGGGUGAUCGGCCACACUGGGACUGAGACACGGCCCAGACUCCUACGGGAGGCAGCAGUAGGGAAUCUUCCGCAAUGGACGAAAGUCUGACGGAGCAACGCCGCGUGAGUGAUGAAGGUUUUCGGAUCGUAAAGCUCUGUUGUUAGGGAAGAACAAGUACCGUUCGAACAGGGCGGUACCUUGACGGUACCUAACCAGAAAGCCACGGCUAACUACGUGCCAGCAGCCGCGGUAAUACGUAGGUGGCAAGCGUUUUCCGGAAUUAUUGGGCGUAAAGGGCUCGCAGGCGGUUUCUUAAGUCUGAUGUGAAAGCCCCCGGCUCAACCGGGGAGGGUCAUUGGAAACUGGGGAACUUGAGUGCAGAAGAGGAGAGUGGAAUUCCACGUGUAGCGGUGAAAUGCGUAGAGAUGUGGAGGAACACCAGUGGCGAAGGCGACUCUCUGGUCUGUAACUGACGCUGAGGAGCGAAAGCGUGGGGAGCGAACAGGAUUAGAUACCCUGGUAGUCCACGCCGUAAACGAUGAGUGCUAAGUGUUAGGGGGUUUCCGCCCCUUAGUGCUGCAGCUAACGCAUUAAGCACUCCGCCUGGGGAGUACGGUCGCAAGACUGAAACUCAAAGGAAUUGACGGGGGCCCGCACAAGCGGUGGAGCAUGUGGUUUAAUUCAAAGCAACGCGAAGAACCUUACCAGGUCUUGACAUCCUCUGACAAUCCUAGAGAUAGGACGUCCCCUUCGGGGGCAGAGUGACAGGUGGUGCAUGGUUGUCGUCAGCUCGUGUCGUGAGAUGUUGGGUUAAGUCCCGCAACGAGCGCAACCCUUGAUCUUAGUUGCCAGCAUUCAGUUGGGCACUCUAAGGUGACUGCCGGUGACAAACCGGAGGAAGGUGGGGAUGACGUCAAAUCAUCAUGCCCCUUAUGACCUGGGCUACACACGUGCUACAAUGGACAGCACAAAGGGCUGCAAAACCGCGCGGUUAAGCCAAUCCCACAAAUCUGUUCUCAGUUCCGAUCGCAGUCUGCAACUCGACUGCGUGAAGCUGGAAUCGCUAGUAAUC
rnacentral:rRNA from 1 species